UUCGGCAGAAUCUUGUGUAUCUUAGUGGCGGACGGGCGAGUAACGCGUGAGCAACCUGCCCUUCAGAGGGGGACAACAGUUGGAAACGACUGCUAAUACCGCAUGAUAUGUCCUGGAGGCAUCUCCGGGACAUCAAAGGAGCAAUCCGCUGAAGGAUGGGCUCGCGUCCGAUUAGGUAGUUGGUGAGGUAACGGCCCACCAAGCCGACGAUCGGUAGCCGAACUGAGAGGUUGAUCGGCCGCAUUGGGACUGAGACACGGCCCAGACUCC
rnacentral:rRNA from 1 species